rnacentral:rRNA from 1 species
GGGGGAAUUGUGCACAAUGGGUGAAACCCUGAUGCAGCGACGCCGCGUGAUUUAGAAGGCCUUCGGGUUGUAAAAAUCUUUUCUAUGGGAAGAAAAUGACAGUACCAUAGGAAUAAGGACCGGCUAAUUACGUGCCAGCAGCCGCGGUAAUACGUAAGGUCCGAGCGUUGUCCGGAAUCAUUGGGCGUAAAGGGUACGUAGGCGGGUAAACAAGUUAGAAGUGAAAUCCUAUAGCUCAACUAUAGUAAGCUUUUAAAACUGCUCAUCUUGAGGUAUGGAAGGGAAGGUGGAAUUCCUAGUGUAGCGGUGAAAUGCGCAGAUAUUAGGAGGAAGACCAGUGGCGAAGGCGACUUUCUGGCCAUAACCUGACGCUGAGGUACGAAAGCGUGAGUAGCAAACAGG